rnacentral:piRNA from 1 species
UGACUUUGUAGGAUUCCAGGAAGCCAGAGA